GAUCAAACAAAAUAAAGCACACGGUGAAUGCCUUGGCAUCGAGAGGCGAUGAAGGACGUGCUAAGCUGCGAAAAGCCUGGGGGAGGUGCACAGAACCUGUGAUCUCAGGAUGUCCGAAUGGGGAAACCCGGCUGGUCGCGAGGCCAGUCACCCGAAAGGGAGCCAACCCUGGGAACUGAAACAUCUCAGUACCGGGAGGAAAAGAAAUCAACCGAGAUUCUGCUAGUAGCGGUGAGCGAACGCGGAAGAGGCCAAACCUGAGGGGCUUGCUCCUCAGGGGUUGUGGGACCGUAACAUGGGAUGUACGACACGAGGGUGAAACGGCGUGGAAUAGCCUGCCAAAGAGGGUGAGAGCCCCGUAACUGGUUGUGUACGACCCCUAGCGGUAUCCCGAGUAGCGCGGGGCACGUGUAAUCCUGCGUGAAUCUGGGGCGACCACGCUCCAAGCCUAAAUACUCCUCGAUGACCGAUAGUGAACAAGUACCGUGAGGGAAAGGUGAAAAGAACGCCAGGUGGCGAGUGAAAUAGUUCCUGAAACCGUGUGCUGACAAGCGGUAGGAGCCCCGCAAGGGGUGACUGCGUGCCUUUUGCAUUAUGAUCCGGCGAGUUACUCCUCAUGUGCGCGGUUAAGGCCUUCAGGGCCGUAGCCAUAGCGAAAGCGAGUCUGAAUAGGGCGCAUGUACGUGGGGGUAGACCCGAAGCCGUGGCGAUCUACCCUUGAGCAGGUUGAAGCCGCCGUAACAGGCGGUGGAGGACCGAACCGAUGUGGGUUGAAAACCGCUCGGAUGACUUGAGGGUAGGGGUGAAAGGCCAAUCAAGCUCGGAGAUAGCUGGUUCUCCCCGAAAUAUAUUUUGGUAUAGCCUCGGGAAAUGAGUUCACAGGAGGUAGAGCACUGGAUGGGUCCGGGCGCCGUUAUUGGCGUACCUCCCCCAACUAAACUCCGAAUGCCUGUUGAAUGCUGCCCGGGAGGCAGUCGCGGUGUGCUAAUGUACCGCGGCGAGAGGGAAAGAACCCAGAGCACCAGCUAAGGCCCCGGAGUGGCGGCUCAGUGUAGCAAAGGAUGUGGGUAUGCGUUGACAGCUGGGAGGUUGGCUUAGAAGCAGCCAUUCCUUUAAAGAGUGCGUAAUAGCUCACCAGUCAAGCGUAGCCGCGCCGAUAAUGGUCGGGACUUAAGCCGCCCGCCGAAGCUGUGUCUUUGUACGCAAGUACAAGGGGUAGGGGAGCGUUCUGAGAGCGGUGAAGCCGGGGUGGAAACCUUCCGGUGGAGCGAUCAGAAGUGAGGAUGCCGGAUUCAGUACGCGAGAAUGAAGGUGAAAACCCUUCACACCGUAAGCCUAAGGGUUCCUGAGCCAUGUCGAUCAGCUCAGGGUUAGUCGGUCCCUAAGUCGAGGCCGAGAGGCGUAGACGAUGGAAAACGGGUCAACAUUCCCGUACCAACAGCUAAACGUUAUCAGUCUGAGGAGGGACGCAGGAGCAAGGUCAUCGGCGGAUUGUGGUUGUGCCGCUGUAAGCCAGGUAGACGUUUCCCCGUAGGCAAAUCCGCGGGGAUAGUCGAGUGGCGAUGCCGAAGGGGACGCAAGUCCCCGCAAAGGAUGGCCGACGCAUGCUGCCAAGAAAAUCUUCGCAGAUCAGGAUAGUUGUUGACCGUACCGUAAUCCGACACAGGUAGGCGAGGCGAGCAGCCUAAGGUGCUCGAGUGAUUCACGGAGAAGGAACUCGGCAAAAUUACCCCGUAACUUCGGGAUAAGGGGUGCCAGUAGUAUGUGUAAAAGCAGAGGCUGGCCGCAGAGAAUCGUCCCAAGCGACUGUUUAGCAAAAACACAGGUGUCUGCUAAGGCGUUUUCCAAGCCAACGUAUAGACACUGACUCCUGCCCGGUGCCGGAAGGUUAAGGCAAGUGGUUAGCCGCAAGGCGAAGCUGCGAACCGAAGCCCCGGUAAACGGCGGCCGUAACUAUAACGGUCCUAAGGUAGCGAAAUUCCUUGUCGGGUAAGUUCCGACCUGCACGAAUGGAGUAACGACUUGGGAGCUGUCUCCUCCGUAAGCUCGGCGAAAUAGCAGUAUCGGUGAGGAUUCCGAUUACCCGCAGCAGGACAAAAAGACCCCAUGCACCUUUACUACAUCCUGUCAUUGAUUGUCGGCAUAAGCUGCGUAGCAUAGGUGGGAGCCGUUGAUCCGCUGGUUUCGGCUAGCGGGGAGGCACCAGUGAAAUACCACCCUUCUUUUUCUGAUAAUCUCACUCAGGCCUUCACAGGGUCGAGGACCGUGGCAGGUGGGUAGUUUGUCUGGGGCGGACGCCUCCUAAAAAGUACCGGAGGCUCGCUAUGGUGCCCUCAGUGCGGUCGGUAAUCGCACGACGAGUGUAUAAGCAGAAGGGCGCCUGACUGCGAGCGCGACAGCGCAAGCAGGGACGAAAGUCGGCUUAAGUGAUCCGGUGGUCCCGUGUGGAUGGGCCAUCGCUCAUAGGAUAAAAGGUACGCUGGGGAUAACAGGCUUAUCGCGUCCGAGAGUUCACAUCGACGACGCGGUUUGGCACCUCGAUGUCGGCUUGUCACAUCCUGGGGCUGGAGAAGGUCCCAAGGGUCCGGCUGUUCGCCGGUUAAAGUGGCACAUGAGCUGGGUUCAGAACGUCGUGAGACAGUUCGGUCUGUAUCCGCUGUGGGCGUGGGAUUGUUGAGGGGAGUCGUCCUUAGUACGAGAGGACCGGGACGAAACGACCUCCCGUGUACGGGCUGUCCCGCCAGGGGCAUCGCCCGGUAGCGACGUCGUGCGCAGAUAACCGCUGAAUGCAUCUAAGUGGGAAACUGUCCCCAAGAUGAACAAUCCUGGACCGUAAGGUUCCUAAAGGGCCCUGGGAGACUACCAGGUUGAUAGGGCGCAGAUGUACGGGCUGCAAGGCCUUCAGUCGAGCGCUACUAAUCGCCCGUGAAGUUUGAUCUCUUCC
rnacentral:rRNA from 1 species